UACGGAGGGUGCAAGCGUUAUCCGGAUUCACUGGGUUUAAAGGGUGCGUAGGUGGGUUGGUAAGUCAGUGGUGAAAUCCCCGAGCUUAACUUGGGAACUGCCAUUGAUACUAUCAGUCUUGAAUAUUGUGGAGGUUAGCGGAAUAUGUCAUGUAGCGGUGAAAUGCUUAGAUAUGACAUAGAACACCAAUUGCGAAGGCAGCUGGCUACGCUUAUAUUGACACUGAGGCACGAAAGCGUGGGGAUCAAACAGG
rnacentral:rRNA from 1 species